GUAACAUUAUGUUAUAGCUGAUUGAUAAAUUAAUUUAAGUAAUCAGAUGGUUUGGGGCUUGGGUUGGUCAAGGCACGGCUGUACCUCAAUCAAUUCGUGGGCGUUGGCUUGCAAGGAAUCCUUAUAGGUCAUUCCACAGUAGGCCGAAGGAUGCAGCUCAUCAACAAAUUCCACUGCUGGACUCACAAAAGUGUCGAGAUCUGGUCCGUGGAGUGUGGCCAACGAUAUUCUUCUAAACUUAGUUAUUUUCCACUGCCACAUGAUGAUGAACAUAACUCUUGUACUUACCAUUGGUCAACACCUACAAAUGGUGCAUUUUAUAUACAUUUAAGGAAAAUUUUUAUAUGUCAG
rnacentral:misc_RNA from 1 species